rnacentral:rRNA from 1 species
UACGGAGGGUGCAAGCGUUGCUCGGAAUUACUGGGCGUAAAGCGCACGCAGGCGGCGUGCCAAGUCGAACGUGAAAUCCCUGGGCUCAACCCAGGAACUGCGCUCGAAACUGGCAUGCUUGAGUCCGGGAGAGGAUGGUGGAAUUCCUGGUGUAGAGGUGAAAUUCGUUGAUAUCAGGAGGAACACCGGCGGCGAAGGCGGCCAUCUGGCCCGGAACUGACGCUCAUGUGCGAAAGCGUGGGGAGCAAACAGGAUUAGAAACCCCCGUAGUCC